rnacentral:misc_RNA from 1 species
GAUGAAGAACGUAGCGAAAUGCGAUACGUAGUGUGAAUUGCAGAAUUCAGUGAAUCAUCGAAUCUUUGAACGCACAUUGCGCCCUUUGGUAUUCCAAAGGGCAUGCCUGUUCGAGCGUCAUUUGUACCCUCAAGCUUUGCUUGGUGUUGGGCGUCUUGUCUCCAGUCCGCUGGAGACUCGCCUUAAAGUCAUUGGCAGCCGGCCUACUGGUUUCGGUGCGCAGCACAAGUCGCACUCUUUUCCAGCCAAGGUCAGCGUCCAACAAGCCUUUUUUCAACUUUUGACCUCGGAUCAGGUAGGGAUACCCGCUGAACUUAAGCAUAUCAAUAAGCGGAGGA